AAUUAAAAUAGUUAAAAUUAAAAUAAAAACUAAUUAACCUAUUUAUUUAUUCUAGACCCAAUAUAAAAAUAAAUAGACUCAAAAAAAAAAGUCGGGCACCAAAAUGCUCGAAAAAAUAAAAUGAACACGUCAAAAUAAUCAGCGCGAAAUAAAUGACUCUGAAAAAUACAGCGUUUGGUCGGAUUUUGAAAUAAAAAUUAUGACCGUUUA
rnacentral:lncRNA from 1 species